CGGCACUCGAGGCUGCGCAUGCGCAACUCCGCGCGGCGCAUAAUAGCUGGGGGGCUCAGGGCUUGCGUACUGUGAGGGGGUUAUCGCGCGUGCGCGAGAGGAGCCGAGGGUCAGGAGGUUUUCCCGCCCGUCCAGGGUGCGGCUGUGGGCAGCUCUGCAGGGCGGCGUUUCGGCUCCGCCCGCGGCCCUGAGGAGAUAGUUAUCAGAACCUUCAAAGGAAAGGGGAAUAAUGAAAGAAUGCCUGCUGCAUUGCAUAAGCUGGGGGUUUGGCAGUCCUUCAGAUGUUUACUCUUCAGUUAAUGCUACCUUACAGUGACCAUCCUAUUGACCUUCAUCUGGCUCAAGCAGCUGGAGAAUGAAACUAUAACAACUGCAGAAAGGGUUGGAGCAAGAAAAUGUGAGCUAUUUCUCCCCCACUUUUCUGCCAGGGACAGAGCAGCGUGCUCAGAGCAGCCCUGUGCUCGUGAAAGGAAAGGAGGUGGCUGUGGGCUGCCGGCAGCUGCUGCUGCACAGGGAACAUGAGCAGUGUGUGAUGGGUGACCUGCCUUACCUGUCCUUCUCUUGGAACCUUGGGUUUGGCCUACGGGAACCUGGGCAGGUCCUGCUGGGGAGAUGGGACAGCAUGAAGGAGAGUGACCUGGAAAUGCAAUGAAGUUACUGAGAGCGUGGAGUGCUCUCAUCAUCAGCAAAGCAGGCAGCUUCCUUCGUUCCUACUUCUCAAGCUCUCGGUUGAUGAAAGGACAAGUUUUCUGAAGGGCUGUUUUAAUGGACAAUUCCAAUGGCUGCAUAGAAAAAUCCCUCCAGGCACUGCAUGAGAAAGUCACUUCUGAAGUUGUUUCCAUCUGGCUCUGACAUUUGUUGAGUUACAAGUAUAGUAUUGAUUUCACUAUGGGCAUUUUAAACGUUUUCAGUUUAACAAUAACGGCAGUAAUGCACUUAAAUUCAUUAAGUGGGGAAAUACAGAAAUCAUUAACUUCAGAUAUACAUCUAAAGUGAUUAUUUACUACAGGUUUUGUUUCAAGAUGCAUUAAUCCACCAAGGGCAGGGCCUCCUUGUUACAGCUGAGCCAGGUUUUUGAAACUAGACUGGGUUAUAGUUAACUGGAUCUUGAAACCAUGUGCCACACAAUGAGCAGAACAGAAAUCAGCUGG